UACGGAGGUGGCAAGCGUUGUUCGGAAUUACUGGGCGUAAAGGGCGCGUAGGCGGCAAGGCAAGUCAGGUGUGAAAGCCCCGAGCUUAACUCGGGAAUUGCAUCUGAAACUGCUGUGCUUGAGUUCUGGAGGGGGUAGUGGAAUUCCCAGUGUAGCGGUGAAAUGCGUAGAUAUCAGGAGGAACACCUGUGGUGUAGACAGCUUACUGGACCACUUCUGACGCUGAGACACGAAAGCGUGGGUAGCAAACAGG
rnacentral:rRNA from 1 species